GACGGAGGGGGCUAGCGUUGUUCGGAAUUACUGGGCGUAAAGAGCGCGUAGGCGGUUUGGUAAGUUGGAAGUGAAAGCCCGAGGCUUAACCUCGGAAUUGCUUUCAAAACUGCUGAACUAGAGUGUAGUAGGGGAUGAUGGAAUUCCUAGUGUAGAGGUGAAAUUCUUAGAUAUUAGGAGGAACACCGGUGGCGAAGGCGGUCAUCUGGGCUACAACUGACGCUGAGGCGCGAAAGCGUGGGGAGCAAACAGG
rnacentral:rRNA from 1 species